rnacentral:rRNA from 1 species
GAUAAACGCUGGCGGCGCACAUAAGACAUGCAAGUCGAACGAAAGUCGUUAUAAAAUGGAUUGAAGAUUCAUCGGAAAGAAAUUUUAUAACAAUGGCUUUAGUGGCGGACUGGUGAGUAACACGUAAGCAAUCUGCCUAUUAGAGGGGAAUAACAGUGAGAAAUCACUGCUAAUACCGCAUAAGCUUGUAGUAACGCAUGUUACAGCAAGAAAAGGAGCAAUCCGCUAAUAGAUGAGCUUGCGGCUGAUUAGCUAGUUGGUUAGGUAACGGCUCACCAAGGCGACGAUCAGUAGCCGGUCUGAGAGGAUGAACGGCCACAUUGGGACUGAGAUACGGCCCAGACUCCUACGGGAGGCAGCAGUGGGAAUAUUGGGCAAUGGGGGAAACCCUGACCAGCAACGCCGCGUGAAGGAUGAAGGCCUUC